rnacentral:rRNA from 1 species
UACAGAGGGUGCAAGCGUUGUUCGGAAUUAUUGGGCGUAAAGGGCGCGUAGGCGGUGCGGUAAGUCUGCGGUGAAAUCUCCCCGGCUCAACUGGGAGGCUGCCGUGGAAACUGCCGUGCUUGAGUGUGGGAGAGGUGAGUGGAAUUCCCCGGUGUAGCGGUGAAAUGCGUAGAUAUCAGGAGGAACACCGAUUGCGAAGGCAGCUCGCUGGGACGUUUACUGACGCUGAGACGCGAAAAGCGUGGGGAGCAAACAGG